UACGUAGGGGGCUAGCGUUGUCCGGAUUUAUUGGGCGUAAAGAGCGUGUAGGCGGCCUGACAGGUCUGCUGUGAAAACUCGAGGCUCAACCUCGAGAUGUCGGCGGAAACCGUCUGGCUAGAGUCCGGAAGAGGAGAGUGGAAUUCCUGGUGUAGCGGUGAAAUGCGCAGAUAUCAGGAGGAACACCGGUGGCGAAGGCGGGUCUCUGGGCCGAUACUGACGCUGAGGAGCGAAAGCGUGGGGAGCGAACAGG
rnacentral:rRNA from 1 species